rnacentral:rRNA from 1 species
GGCCGGGAUGUUCACAACCCUUUGUUGUCCGACUCUGUUGCCUCCGGGGCGACCCUGCCUCCGGGCGGGGGCCCCGGGUGGACAUUUCAAACUCUUGCGUAACUUUGCAGUCUGAGUAAAUUUAAUUAAUAAAUUAAAACUUUCAACAACGGAUCUCUUGGUUCUGGCAUCGAUGAAGAACGCAGCGAAAUGCGAUAAGUAAUGUGAAUUGCAGAAUUCAGUGAAUCAUCGAAUCUUUGAACGCACAUUGCGCCCCCUGGUAUUCCGGGGGGCAUGCCUGUUCGAGCGUCAUUUCACCACUCAAGCCUCGCUUGGUAUUGGGCGACGCGGUCCGCCGCGCGCCUCAAAUCGACCGGCUGGGUCUUUCGUCCCCUCAGCGUUGUGGAAACUAUUCGCUAAAGGGUGCCGCGGGAGGCCACGCCGUAAAACAACCCCAUUUCUAAGGUUGACCUCGGAUCAGGUAGGGAUACCCGCUGAACUUAAGCAUAUAAAA